AAGAAAGACCCCUGAUAAAUGAUCAGGUAGAUAGGUCAGGAGUGGAAGGCCAGUGAGGUAGGGAGCGGACUGAUACUAAUCGAUCGAGGACUUAACCAAU
rnacentral:rRNA from 1 species